AACCAAAGUGUUGAGUUCAGUUCAGGAUGUUGCUCCUGUUCUGGUAAUUAAACUUUGGGACAGCGAGUGACUGGGAAGUGCAUUGUGGUGGCUGAAAGUUUAUGUCACCUGCAUUUCUCAGCCUACAGAC